rnacentral:lncRNA from 1 species
CUGAAAUGGGGAGCUGGUCCCUUCAGGUUAGCCCACAUGGACAAGAUGGCGGCCACCAUAAGCAUGUUCCGGACUGACGGCAGAAGUGACUUUUCUUCUCCAUGAGUGAGGCAGAAAGAUGUGUGAAACCAACAGGACACCAGAGUCCAAAGGACACAACAUCCAAAAAGACCACUCUGCUUUCAAUCUAGAGUGACAGUGUUGAGAAGUUAUGACAGAUGCCAUCUGGCCCGCAGUGCCUGAAGAUUUCCCAUCUGCUCCUCGAUAGAAAAAGUUUGCCAACCUUGUUUUCUCUGUAACCAGUUUGGUCACAGUCCAGCUCUUGAGAUGGUGCAGCCCACAUUUGAGGAAGCUGAGGGCAGAAAUGGGCACAAGAAAUUAAUCAACACCUUUGAUCACCAACCCAUCCAAGCAAGAAAUGUACACCGGCCAGCAAUAUCUAGGCUGCCAUUGUUCCUGUUCCCUGACCUCAAGGAGUCCCUUGUUCAACUAUUAAAAGUGUGUGUUUCAGGGCUGGAGAGAUGGCUCCGAGGUUAAGAUUACUGGCUGCUUUUCCAGAGUCCUGAGUUCAAUUUCCAGCAACCACAUGGUGGCUCACAACCGUCCAUUAUGAGAUCUCUUCUGGUGUGCAGAUAUACAUGGAAA